GAGGCAGCAGUGAGGAAUCUUCCGCAAUGGACGAAAGUCUGACGGAGCAACGCCGCGUGAGUGAUGAAGGUUUUCGGAUCGUAAAGCUCUGUUGUUAGGGAAGAACAAGUGCUGGAGUCACUGCCCGCGCCUUGACGGUACCUAACCAGAAAGCCACGGCUAACUACGUGCCAGCAGCCGCGGUAAUACGUAGGUGGCAAGCGUUGUCCGGAAUUAUUGGGCGUAAAGCGCGCGCAGGCGGUCUUUUAAGUCUGAUGUGAAAGCCCCCGGCUCAACCGGGGAGGGUCAUUGGAAACUGGAGGACUUGAGUGCAGAAGAGGAGAGUGGAAUUCCACGUGUAGCGGUGAAAUGCGUAGAGAUGUGGAGGAACACCAGUGGCGAAGGCGACUCUCUGGUCUGUAACUGACGCUGAGGCGCGAAAGCGUGGGGAGCGAACAGGAUUAGAUACCCCGGUAGUCCAAGCCG
rnacentral:rRNA from 1 species